CUUAUCCGUUCUGCUUUCUUAUUCUUGUGCAGGAUGAGCUGGAUGAAGUUGUGAACACGUGGAACGCACACAAAAUAAGACCAAGAUUGCACCGUGAUACAGCUUCAGGUCGAUCAGUCGUCAUGU